UAAUACAGAGAGUGCAAGCGUUAAUCGGAAUUACUGGGCGUAAAGCGCACGUAGGUGGAUACUUUAGUCGAAUGUGAAAGCCCUGGGCUUAACCUGGGAAUUGCAUCCGAUACUGGGUAUCUAGAGUAUGGUAGAGGGAAGUGGAAUUUCCGGUGUAGCGGUGAAAUGCGUAGAUAUCGGAAAGAACACCAGUGGCGAAAGCGGCUUCCUGGACCAAUACUGACACUAAGGUGCGAAAGCGUGGGGAGCAAACAGGAUUAGAGACCCUGGUAGUCCACGCUGUCAACGAUGAGAACUAGACGUUGGAGAGGUAACUCUUUAGUGUCGAAGCUAACGCGUUAAGUUCUCCGCCUGGGGAGUACGGCCGCAAGGUUA
rnacentral:rRNA from 1 species